rnacentral:lncRNA from 1 species
UUACAUUCCUCUUCAUCAUCUCUAACUAGAAGGAACCCUUACCCUCUUAAGAGAUAUAACAUAACCUCUCCCUAAAAACCAAAACCCUAGCCGCCAUCCUCUCCUUCUUCAUUCCCUCCGAUCUACCUACUCUCAUCACCUUCAUACUCUCUUAUCGCACUCACUCUUUCUUCACUCAAGUACCUUUCUAGAGUGCAAAAUUAAAUCCCAGAUUUGAAAGAAUUCAAAAGGGCUUAAAUUAAAACACAAAAGAGAAUUGGAAGGAUUGGUUUGAAUUUCGCUGGAAUUUGGUGUCGAUUUCUCUGGUUUUGCUGAAGAAACUUUACUGUUGUUGUUCUUUGCUGGGAGCUUGAAUUUCAUCUUCUAAUUUCAGACCCUUGCUUGGCCAUUUUAGUGCUAUUUUGCCACUUUUAAGUAUGUAAAUAUUCACCUAUUCUCCUCUACUUUGUCUGUGAAUUAAAAUUAGGAUUGCUCAUAUUGCGUUUUUGAUUGUUUACACAGAUUUGGAUUGUGGUAAUUGGUUGUGGACUAAAUUGCUUAAUGUAUUUGAUAUAAUGAUUGGAUGAAUAUUUAAAGCAAGCUUUGAUCUUAAUGCUAAUUCUUAGGAGUAUAGUCGUGUUAGCUAAUAAUCUUGUGAACAAUUUCGAGAUUGCAUUGUAUCAUAAUAAUCCGUUCAUCUACUGAUUUAGAUUGUUAUGCACGAAAAAGUUGAUUUGCAGAAGUAGCCCUAUGGCUAUUUUUGCAAAUUAAGAAUUUAACCCCACCGCCCAGGGGAGUUAUUCAUGAAAUAUCUUGUGGUGGAAGCAUAAAAAUUAGUCUUAGAUUAGCUACUACUGUAAUUCAUGUUAUGUAAGGCCAUAAUACAAUAGAUUUAAUCUAUUUGGCUAUGUAUUUUGACAUAGUUGAAAUAUUAUGAAUUGGGUUUAGCCUUUGUUUGUAUUGAUUUUCAUGCACUUCGUGAUUUUCCUUCUCGAUGUGGUGCUCAAUUGAACUUUGGUUUGAAAGGAAAUGGGCCUGGCGAAGCUAUUUCUAGGCCAUGAUGU